AGUCAGUAAAUCAGCAGAAAGAGAGAACAGGAAAAGGCUGGGAGAUCUUGAGUAACAUGGUUGGGCAGCGCUGGUUUAGAGGGAAUUAUGAUUCUGGAAGGUUUUCUUCCAUGUUCAUUUUUCCCCCUUUGUGACUGAUUUCAAUCAACGCAAACAAAUACAGUACUCCUUAGCUCUUAUUUAGGAAAAGAAAACAGCCACAGGCUCUGGUCAGUGUUUUUUUUAGAGGAGAGCACCCCCAACUGAUCAGCUGUUGGAACAGCAGGUUUUUCCGGUCUCCUCUGGGAACGCUGUGCGUGAAACCAAACCAGAUUGUCAUCCCUCCUGCCGAUUCCAGACGAGUCCACGGGACUGUCCCAGAGAGGGGAGGGGGGCCUUAGAGAUUAACUUCAUCAAUGUGACACCAUGCAGACUAUGAAGUAGGGACUUUCCUGCAGCAUCUUCUGUCAAAAGCCCUCCCACCCCCACCCCCCGGUCAGGAUAUUUAUCAUCUAUCAUACUCUGUCUCUGCUGCCUGUCCCUAGCCUUCCACCUGAUGUCAGUCUGUUAUUCCUGAUGAUCUUCUCAGACACGAAAAGACGUCUGGGUUUUUUUUUUAUAAAAAAACAGCAUUUUGGGUUUUUGUA